rnacentral:SRP_RNA from 1 species
GCGGCUGUAAUGGCCCCAAGUCGGGAAUGCGAGGUGAUGUUUCCACAACGGAAUCACGUGCUCGUGCGCUGAGUUCAAGACCGUCCCCUCUGGAAAACUUUGGUGUCCAUCAUCCCUCGCGGCGUAAGCUGUGGCCGGAUUUGGAGUAAUCGGCCCUUGACUAGCCAGGGAAGCAAUUCCGCAGCUAGCAGGACUCACCGAGUUGGUCUUAGGAGAUCAGGGCGUGUCAUCUGUCGCGCGGGUGCGCCGUGUCCCUCGUAGACCUU